GACAGAGGGUGCAAGCGUUGUCCGGAAUUAUUGGGCGUAAAGAGCUCGUAGGCGGUUUGUUGCGUCGGCUGUGAAAUCCCGAGGCUCAACCUCGGGUCUGCAGUCGAUACGAGCAAACUAGAGUGUUGCAGGGGAGACUGGAAUUCCUGGUGUAGCGGUGAAAUGCGCAGAUAUCAGGAGGAACACCGGUGGCGAAGGCGGGUCUCUGGGCAACAACUGACGCUGAGGAGCGAAAGCGUGGGGAGCGAACAGG
rnacentral:rRNA from 1 species